UACGGAGGGGGCUAGCGUUGUUCGGAAUUACUGGGCGUAAAGCGUACGUAGGCGGCUUUGUAAGUUAGAGGUGAAAGCCCGGGGCUUAACCCCGGAAUUGCCUUUAAGACUGCAUCGCUUGAAUCAUGGAGAGGUGAGUGGAAUUCCGAGUGUAGAGGUGAAAUUCGUAGAUAUUCGCAGGAACACCAGUGGCGAAGGCGACUUGCUGGGCUUGUAGUGACGCUGAGACGCGAAAGCGUGGGGAGCAAACAGG
rnacentral:rRNA from 1 species